GACGAACGCUGGCGGCGUGCUUAACACAUGCAAGUCGAACGCUGAAGCCCAGCUUUUGUUGGGUGGAUGAGUGGCGAACGGGUGAGUAACACGUGAGUAACCUGCCCCCUUCUUUGGGAUAACGCCCGGAAACGGGUGCUAAUACUGGAUAUUCACUGGUCUUCGCAUGGGGGGUGGGGGAAAGGGCGUUUCUGGUGGGGGAUGGGCUCGCGGCCUAUCAGCUUGUUGGUGGGGUGGUGGGCUACCAAGGCUUUGACGGGUGGCCGGCCGGGGAGGGUGACCGGGCACAUUGGGACUGAGAUUGGGCCCAGACUCCGGCGGGGGGCAGCAGGGGGGACUAUUGCGCAAUGGGCGCCAGCCUGAUGCGGCGCCGCCGCGUGAGGGGUGGCGGGCUUGGGGUUGUGAACCUCUUUCGCUCAUGGUCAAGCCGCAACAAUGGUUGUGGUGAGGGUAGUGGGUAAAGAAGCGCCGGCUAACUACGUG
rnacentral:rRNA from 1 species